rnacentral:rRNA from 1 species
AUUGAACGCUGGCGGCAGGCCUAACACAUGCAAGUCGAACGAGUGGCGGACGGGUGAGUAAUGUCUGGGAAACUGCCUGAUGGAGGGGGAUAACUACUGGAAACGGUAGCUAAUACCGCAUACCAGCGGAUGUGCCCAGAUGGGUUUAGCUUGUUGGUGGGGGAAAGGCUCACCAAGGCGACGAUCCCUAGCGGGUCUGAGAGGAUGACCAGCCACACUGGAACUGAGAAACGGUCCAGACUCCUACGGGAGGCAGCAGUGGGGAAUAUUGGACAAUGGGCGCAAGCCUGAUCCAGCCAUGCCGCGUGUCUGAAGAAGGCCUUCGGGUUGUAAAGGACUUUUGGCGGGGAGGCGUUACCUGCAGAAUAAGCACCGGCUAACUACGUGCCAGCAGCCGCGGUAAUAC